rnacentral:rRNA from 1 species
GACGAACGCUGGCGGCGUGCCUAAUACAUGCAAGUAGAACGCUGAAGACUUUAGCUUGCUAAAGUUGGAAGAGUUGCGAACGGGUGAGUAACGCGUAGGUAACCUGCCUACUAGCGGGGGAUAACUAUUGGAAACGAUAGCUAAUACCGCAUAACAGCAUUUAACCCAUGUUAGAUGCUUGAAAGGAGCAAUUGCUUCACUAGUAGAUGGACCUGCGUUGUAUUAGCUAGUUGGUGAGGUAAAGGCUCACCAAGGCGAUGAUACAUAGCCGACCUGAGAGGGUGAUCGGCCACAUUGGGACUGAGACACGGCCCAAACUCCUACGGGAGGCAGCAGUAGGGAAUCUUCGGCAAUGGACGAAAGUCUGACCGAGCAACGCCGCGUGAGUGAAGAAGGUUUUCGGAUCGUAAAACUCUGUUGGUAGAGAAGAACGUUGGUGAGAGUGGAAAGCUCAUCAAGUGACGGUAACUACCCAGAAAGGGACGGCUAACUACGUGCCAGCAGCCGCGGUAAUACGUAGGUCCCGAGCGUUGUCCGGAUUUAUUGGGCGUAAAGCGAGCGCAGGUGGUUUAUUAAGUCUGGUGUAAAAGGCAGCGGCUCAACCAUUGUAUGCAUUGGAAACUGGUAGACUUGAGUGCAGGAGAGGAGAGUGGAAUUC